GGACGGGAUUCGGGGAGCUUGCUCCCUGAUGAGAGUGGCGCACGGGUGCGUAACGCGUAUGCAAUCUGCCUUUACCAGGGGGAUAGCCCCUCGAAAGAGGGAUUAAGACCGCAUAAAAUUGUGUUGUGGCAUCACAGUACAAUCAAAUAUUUAUAGGGUAAAGAUGAGCAUGCGUGACAUUAGCUGGUUGGAGAGGUAACGGCUCACCAAGGCGACGAUGUCUAGGGGAUCUGAGAGGAUGACCCCCCACACUGGUACUGAGACACGGACCAGACUCCUACGGGAGGCAGCAGUAAGGAAUAUUGGUCAAUGGGCGGAAGCCUGAACCAGCCAUGCCGCGUGCAGGAAGACGGCCCUACGGGUUGUAAACUGCUUUUGUACCGGAAUAAUUCUCUGUACGUGUACAGGGUUGAAUGUACGGUAAGAAUAAGGAUCGGCUAACUCCGUG
rnacentral:rRNA from 1 species